rnacentral:lncRNA from 1 species
UCCUUGUUGGUAAACUGAUUACCAACUUCAAGUUCAUCGAAAUCUACCCCCGAACUUGUACGAUCGCGCAACCGGUGUGGUAGAUCUGGAAACUCUAACGCAUCAUCUGCUGACAGAUCGACAUUAUGCAUGUGGGCUGGAGGUGAGUAUGCUCUGAAUCGUGGAUUUUCUUCAUCAUCUGAACUCCUUUCAGCAUCUUCACCUUCUGUUGGAAU